rnacentral:rRNA from 1 species
GAUGAACGCUAGCGGCAGGCCUAAUACAUGCAAGUCGGACGGGAUUGAGUAGCUUGCUAUUCAUGAGAGUGGCGCACGGGGGCGUAACACGUAUGUAACCUACCCUUGUCAGGGGGAUAGCCUCUCGAAAGAGAGAUUAAGACCGCAUAACAUUGUAAUGUGGCAUCACAAAACAAUCAAAUAUUUAUAGGACAAGGAUGGGCAUGCGGAACAUUAGCUAGUUGGUAAGGUAACGGCUUACCAAGGCUACGAUGUUUAGGGGAUCUGAGAGGAUGACCCCCCACACUGGUACUGAGACACGGACCAGACUCCUACGGGAGGCAGCAGUAAGGAAUAUUGGUCAAUGGGCGGAAGCCUGAACCAGCCAUGCCGCGUGCAGGAAGACGGCCCUAUGGGUUGUAAACUGCUUUUGCAGGGGAAUAAACCUCGAUACGUGUAUCGAGCUGAAUGUACUCUGAGAAUAAGGAUCGGCUAACUCCGUGCCAGCAGCCGCCGUAACAC